rnacentral:rRNA from 1 species
UACGAAGGGGGCUAGCGUUGUUCGGAAUUACUGGGCGUAAAGCGCACGUAGGCGGACUUGUCAGUCAGAGGUGAAAUCCCGAAGCUUAACUUCGGAACUGCCUUUGAUACUGCAAGUCUUGAGGAUGAGAGAGGUAAGUGGAACUGCGAGUGUAGAGGUGAAAUUCGUAGAUAUUCGCAAGAACACCAGUGGCGAAGGCGGCUUACUGGCUCAUUUCUGACGCUGAGGUGGCGAAAGCGUGGGGAGCAAACAGG